rnacentral:lncRNA from 1 species
CAAUGACAGCAUUCAGAAUGAAGAAACAAACCAGAGAAUAUCCAUAUGACAUUCAGAUUGGUGUUAGUAAUAAGCUGGUAAUGAUAAUGAGGGUAAUUAAAUUUUUUUUAGAAAAUGUUAAACGAUACAAGUUAUCCCGAUGUACAAAUGUAUACUCGGUUUUACACAUACAGUGCCGUUUGCGAACGCCGUAUCCUUCAGUUUCAUUAAAGACAUAAACUUAAACAUAAACUUUAUAGUGUAUGAUAUACUAGCAAAAGUGAGAAUACAACAUAAACGCCAACGGCAAUUUACGCGUUUGGAGAUUUUAUUUAAAAAACUGAUCAUUCUGUCUACUAUUAAACGAUUACUCGGAAAGGAUUCCGAUUUUGACUCCGG